CAAGAUAAAGUAGUGUGUAGAAAUGAGAAGAGUAAUAUUCAAGAUUCACAAACGAACAAGCAAGAUAAAGUAGUGUGUAGAAAUGAGAAGAGUAACAGCACCAAUUCCUGUAAACCAACGCAACAGUUGCACGGUACAGUUGACGCAAAAACUAUAAUGACUGCAAUAAAUGAAUUGCGAAAUCAAAUUGAUAAGCUUCAUGUAACCGUUACAAAAAUUUAUACUGCAACGUGUAAUUCUAUCGAAACACUUGAGAACUCUACUACUAAUAACAUUCCAACCCUUCCAUUGACUUCUAUAGAGGAAUUCUGGAAAUGAGAAGACUAUAUAUCGGAUGAAGAGAACAAAUUGAGAAUAAUUUCACUGUUAGUAGAGCAUGGCAGGGAAGAUUUGAAGAGUUCUGUGUAUUGCAUUAUGCGCAAGCUAAAAAAUAACAAAGUCGCAAUGAAUUUUAAUUUAAAGGGAAUUAACAGAGAAGGAGCAAAAAUGGAAAAAAAGAAAUUUUUAGAUAUUAUAUCUUAUAAACUUGUUAUUGCUGCUGUAAAGAGGCAUAAAAAAGAAAUGACCGAUAGAGGUGUCAAUUUCUUAUAUAAUACAGAAAUUGCAGCCAGUUAUAUUGCCAGUUGGUUGAAGGAUGCAAAAAAGCGUCAUGAAAACGAAGAAUUGAAAUUAAAGAAGAUUGAGCAGCGAGACAAGGACUGUGAAAAUAAUGCAAAUGCAUAGAAAAGAGAAUAUUUUUGCGGUUUUACAUUCUAUUCAUAUAUUUUGCUGAACGUUUAUACGUUUUUCUUUGUACAAUUACAUACCUUUUUUGUAAUAUGUUUCGAACACUUUUCUUCGGCUUUAAUGAUCUGUUAAGUUCCGUUUUUUCUUGUCUUGUUUUGUUGAAAAGUUUGCAUUUUUAUCUUGGUCUCUCAGGUUUUCGAAAAAAUUUUCAGUUGAUAUAAGAAGCAAUUUUUCACUACGCUUGGUAUAUAGACUAUACAUAUUUAUUAUGACAGAAAUAGUAUAAAAUGAGCAACAUAACAUUUUUUUAUAACACACUGCUUUUCUCUGAUUUUUAUUUCAUAUAUAAUAUCAAAUAUUGUAAGAAAAGAUAUCAAUCACACAUAAUUGCACUACAAAAAAUGUAAAGUGUACAGGAUUGCUUUUUGCACAAAAGUAUGAGAUAAGAAUAGAUAUAUAUAAUUUUGUAUAUAAUAAUACAUUUUGUAUUUUGUAAAGUUUUAACACCAAACUUGUAAAAGCUAUCUCUCUUUAUACUUUCCAUUUUUUAUUCUGGGUUGACAGAAAUUUGUGAUGACUGAUAUAAAAAUUUUUA